rnacentral:lncRNA from 1 species
UGAGGGAGCGCGGCCCCCGCGUUGCUCGGUGCGACCGGUUUUGUGGGGGGUUAAAGCCUUCGAAAACGAAGAUCGUGCCUCUCAGGCGAGUGUUUGAGGGCCUGGUGUUUCCCCCCCUGAAGAGCCCCCGAGGGCCUUUAGCCCCCUGAGGCAAAUGGCUCCUGAGGUGCCGGCCUCCCGCUUAGGCCCAGGGAGGCUCUCCCGUAGCCUGACGCCAUCGGCCACCACGGCAACCAGGCGAACUCAAGUCAGACCUCUCAUUCACCAAUGGCCCUACGCGCUUAAAAGGUCAGAGAAAAGGCAGCUGAGAAGGAGCUACUAGAAGCUACCGGUUCACGGCUCUACGCUGAGGCUGGUCCAGGCUUGGUUUGCCUCGGUGCACACGGAGGAGCUCUGCGUGUGUGCACAGGCAGCUGGGAAACCAGCAGAACGUGUUCGUUCAUGAUGUGGUGUAGUAAAGGGCAAUCUUCACUGAUCCUUAAACAGUGUCCUUUAAAGCUGAGAGCACAGAGAUCUUGCAGAAAGUCAGACUUGCUCCGGAGCAUCCGCCACAGAGAACAAUAUUCCAGGGAAAACCUUGACUUGGUACCUGCUGUAGCUGAGACGAUGUGUGAUUCCUGGGUUCUCAUUCUCAGCACCAGGGCUGAAAGACUCCUGUGUUGUGGUGAACUUAGAAACAAUAAAUGCAGAAGCAGCGGCCGGUG